rnacentral:lncRNA from 1 species
UCUGAAUCCUCUCCAGUUUACCUCUGUGUUGAAACAAUGAAAGAAGUUAGGUUUCAUUGACCUUCAGAUCUGGAAACUCAGCGCUCUGCACGAAUUUGUGAUGGAGCCAGCUGGUUUCUUCAGAAGAUUUUAAAGAGCAUACAUGGAGAAAAGAAGAAAUUGAAAACCGUGAAUGUCCCACUGAGAAGAACAAAGUGGACAAUCAGCAAGAUUUAAUGGCAGAAAGAGUCCCUCAUUUCCUGCAGGGCAGAAAUAACUGAAAACUAAAUCCAGUGCCUGCUGGCUGGAGACGACAGUGAGGGUGCUGCAGUGGAAUUGGGUUCCCAGCUCUG